GCACCCGUAGCUCAGCUGGAUAGAGCGCUGCCCUCCGAAGGCAGAGGUCAGGGGUUCGAAUCCCUUCGGGUGCGCCA
rnacentral:tRNA from 1 species